rnacentral:rRNA from 1 species
AUUGAACGCUGGCGGCAGGCUUAACACAUGCAAGUCGAGCGGAGAUGAGGUGCUUGCACCUUAUCUUAGCGGCGGACGGGUGAGUAAUGCUUAGGAAUCUGCCCAUUAGUGGGGGACAACAUUCCGAAAGGAAUGCUAAUACCGCAUACGUCCUACGGGAGAAAGCAGGGGAUCUUCGGACCUUGGGCUAAUAGAUGAGCCUAAGUCGGAUUAGCUAGUUGGUGGGGUAAAGGCCUACCAAGGCGACGAUCUGUAGCGGGUCUGAGAGGAUGAUCCGCCACACUGGGACUGAGACACGGCCCAGACUCCUACGGGAAGCAGCAGUGGGGAAUAUUGGACAAUGGGGGGAACCCUGAUCCAGCCAUGCCGCGUGUGUGAAGAAGGCCUUAUGGUUGUAAAGCACUUUAAGCGAGGAGGAGGCUACUGAGACUAAUACUCUUGGAUAGUGGACGUUACUCGCAGAAUAAGCACCGGCUAACUCUGUGCCAGCCGCCGCUGUAAAAC